rnacentral:rRNA from 1 species
UUAACACAUGCAAGUCGAACGAUGAAGCCCAGCUUGCUGGGUGGAUUAGUGGCGAACGGGUGAGUAACACGUGAGUAACCUGCCCUUAACUCUGGGAUAAGCCUGGGAAACUGGGUCUAAUACCGGAUAGGAGCGUCUACCGCAUGGUGGGUGUUGGAAAGAUUUAUCGGUUUUGGAUGGACUCGCGGCCUAUCAGCUUGUUGGUGAGGUAAUGGCUCACCAAGGCGACGACGGGUAGCCGGCCUGAGAGGGUGACCGGCCACACUGGGACUGAGACACGGCCCAGACUCCUACGGGAGGCAGCAGUGGGGAAUAUUGCACAAUGGGCGCAAGCCUGAUGCAGCGACGCCGCGUGAGGGAUGACGGCCUUCGGGUUGUAAACCUCUUUCAGUAGGGAAGAAGCGAAAGUGACGGUACCUGCAGAAGAAGCACCGGCUAACUACGUGCCAGCAGCCGCGGUAAUACGUAGGGUGCGAGCGUUAUCCGGAAUUAUUGGGCGUAAAGAGCUCGUAGGCGGUUUGUCGCGUCUGUCGUGAAAGUCCGGGGCUUAACCCCGGAUCUGCGGUGGGUACGGGCAGACUAGAGUGCAGUAGGGGAGACUGGAAUUCCUGGUGUAGCGGUGGAAUGCGCAGAUAUCAGGAGGAACACCGAUGGCGAAGGCAGGUCUCUGGGCUGUAACUGA